UCCCCGCUGCUCGGCCCGCAGCUCCGUGGGGGUGGGCGACCGGGAUGACAGCGGCGGGGGCGGCGGCGGCGUUGUUGGCUGAGCGCGCGGCGUGGAGCCAGGGAAAGAGGAGGAAGUGGAGCGCGGCCCGCAGCUGCGAGUCAGCCGCCGCGCCGAGGUCCGCCCCAUUUUGCCGAGCGAGCCGAGUCCGGAACCGGGAAGACUUCCCCGCCGGGCUCCGGCCCCCGCGGCUCCUCGCCGGCGUCCCGACCAGCCCCGCCGGCCCUGGCCCCGGCAUCCGCCACGGGACGCUUCCAGCCCCACGGUCCGGGGCGUCGUGGCCGGGACUUCCGAGCGCACGACCCUGAUUGAGUGCACCUGGGCGGGACGCUCCUGGCCCACCAUACCGGUCCACGGUUGCGGGCUGGUUCCCAGCCUUUUGCAGCGGGUGUCGGAGCCCUCCGCCCGGGGAUAACGCACGCUGUCCCCAGGACCCCGACCGAGUGCACGGGAGCCCGGACACCCUCAGCCUCUUUCCCCGAGACCUGGACCUUCAGCUGCUCCGACCCGGUGCUUCGGACUUCCCGGCGGCGAGCGCCCAGGAAGCCCCUGCCAGGGUCCAGCGCCCCCUGAAGGGUCCCAGGCGGGUUGGACAGUCGGACUGAACCGGACCCGGGUGGUCCUGCGAGCCGAAGCUGCCACGUUCCUGCCGUCCCAGGCGAGGGGCUUGGUGCUUCCCCCGAGAAGAACACAGGACCCCCCGCCCCCCCCGCCCCCGCCCCCGCCCCGGCGGCCGGCGGGAGCCAAGAGCUGCAGGAUUACAAAAGAAAAGAAAGAAAAAAAGGCAUCAUGGAGUGCCCACUCAGAACCCUCUGUGGCUCCCUUCGGUCUGUAAGUUGGGGACCAGUCUCCUUUGUUGCAUCUUCAAGGCCUUGCCCACUGUAGCCACUGCAUGGACCCUGGCUCACUGCUCAUCACUGUCUCCUAAACACACCAGAUGCAGCCUCAUCACUGCGUCUAUGCUUGUGGGGUUCCUCCUGUCGGAACUGCCAUCCCUGCCUCUCCUCUGCUCAUCUCCCCAUCUGUUGAGGCCCGACUCCAGUCAUAAACAUCCCUGGAUUAUCCAACCCACUGCUCACAGCCCUCUGAAUCUUUACCACUUCAUAGUAAUAGUAAUAAACAGUACCUACCAUUGCA